AACGAGGUCUAUCCCGAUGGACUUUCUCCCAUAAGGCCCUGUCGUUGGAAAUGCCUCGCAUAUUAAACCUGCGGUUUCGCUUUGCCCACUAGACUACUGCUGUUGGACUUGUGGGAUAAAACUGCAGAACAGGC